rnacentral:sRNA from 1 species
UGAACCGGAAGCCGGGUUACGG